UACAGAGGUCCCAAGCGUUGUUCGGAUUCACUGGGCGUAAAGGGUGCGUAGGUGGCCAGGUAAGUUUGGUGUGAAAGCUCGGAGCUUAACUCCGAAAAGUCAUUGAAUACUAUCUGGCUGGAGGGUCGGAGGGGAGACUGGAAUUCUCGGUGUAGCAGUGAAAUGCGUAGAUAUCGAGAGGAACACCAGUGGCGAAGUCGAGUCUCUGGACGACUCCUGACACUGAGGCACGAAAGCUAGGGGAGCAAACAGG
rnacentral:rRNA from 1 species